rnacentral:rRNA from 1 species
UACGUAGGGGCAAGCGUUAUCCGGAUUUAUUGGGUUUAAAGGGUGCGCAGGCGGGGGAUUAAGUCGGCGGUGAAAUUUUGCAGCUCAACUGUAAAAGUGCCUUCGAAACUGGUUUCCUUGAGUGUAGAUGAAGUAGGCGGAAUUUGUGGUGUAGCGGUGAAAUGCAUAGAUAUCACGAGGAACUCCGAUUGCGCAGGCAGCUUACUAAACUACUACUGACGCUCAGGCACGAAGGCGUGGGGAUCAAACAGGAUUAGAUACCCUGGUAGUCCCU